rnacentral:lncRNA from 1 species
GUGUGUCACUGGGCCUGUAGACAGAUGGUGCUAGGUAAGAUGGCUGCGUGUGUGUCACUGGGCCUGUAGACAGGUGCUAGGUAAGAUGGCUGCGUGUGUGUCACUGGGCCUGUAGACAGGUGCUAGAUAAGAUGGCUGCGUGUGUGUCCUGGGACCCUGUUUACAGGUGCUAGGUAAGAUGGCUGUUUGUGUCUCGGGACCCUGUAGACAUGUACUAGGUAAGAUGGCUGUUUGUGUCUCGGGACCCUGUAGACAGGUGAUAGGUAAGAUGGCUGCGUGUGUGUCACUGGGCCUGUAGACAGGUGCUAGGUAAGAUGGCUGCGUGUGUGUCACUGGACCUGUAGACAGGUGCUAGGUAAGAUGGCUGCGUGUGUGUCCUGGGACCCUGUUUACAGGUGCUAGGUAAGAUGGCCGCGUGUGUGUCACUGGCCUUGUAGACAGGUGCUAGGUAAGAUGGCUGUUUGUGUGUAUCGUGGGACCAUGUAGACAGGUGCUAGGUAAGAUGGCUGUUUGUGUG